rnacentral:rRNA from 1 species
GACGAACGCUGGCGGCGUGCAUUAACACAUGCUAGUCGAACGGAAAGGCCUGCAACUUGCUGCGGGUACUCUAGUGACGAACGGGUGAGUAACACGUGGGUGAUCUGCCUUGCACUUCGGGAUAAGCUUGGGAAACUGGUUCUAAUACCGGAUAGGACAGCUGUUUAGUGUCAAUUGUGGAAAGUUUUUUCGGUGCAAGAUGAGCUUGCGGCCUAUCAGCUUGUUGGUGGGGUAAUGGCCUACCAAGGCGUCAACGGGUAGCCGGCCUGAGAGGGUGUACGGCCACAUUGGGACUGAUAUACGGCCCACACUCCUACGGGAGGCAGCAGUGGGGAAUAUUGCACAAUGGGCGGAAGCCUGAUGCAGCGACUCCGCGUGCGAGAUGAAGGCCUUCGGGUUGUAAACUCCUUUCGCUAGGGACGAACCUUUUUGUGACGGUGCCUAGAUAAUAGGCACCGGCUAACUACGUGCCAUCAACCGCGAUAAUACCUACGGUGCUAGCGUUGUCCGGAAUUACUGGCCGUAAAUGCCUCGCAGGUGGCUUGUCGCGUCCUCUGUGAAAUUCUGGGGCUUAACUCCGGGCGUGCAGGCGAUACGGGCAUAACUUGAGUGCUGUAGGGAUAACUGGAAUUCCUGGUGUACCGGUGAAAUGCGCAAAUAUCAGGAGGAACACCGAUGGCAAAGGCAAGUUACUGGGCAGUUACUGACGCUGAGGAGCGAAAGCAUGGGUAGCGAACAGGAUUAAAUACCCUGGUAGUCCAUGCCGUAAACGGUGGGCGCUAGGUGUGAGGGUCUUUCUACGACUUUCGUGCCGUACCUAACGCAUUAAGCGCCCCGCCUGGGGAGUACGGCCGCAAGGCUAAAACUCAAAGGAAUUGACGGGGGCCCGCACAAGCGGCGAAGCAUGUGAAUUAAUUCAAUGCAACGCGAAAAACCUUACCUGGGCUUGACAUACACCAAAUUGGGCUAGAGAUAGUUCGUCCCUUUGUGGUUGGUGUACAGGUGGUGCAUGGUUGUCCUCAGCUCGUGUCGUGAGAUGUUGGGUUAAGUCCCGCAACGAGCGCACCCCUUGUUUCGUGUUGCCAGCAUUUGGUUGGGGACUCAUGAGAGACUGCCGGGGUCUACUCGGAGGAAGGUGGGGAUGACGUCAAAUCAUCAUGCCCUUUAUGUCCAGGGCUUCACACAUGCUACAAUGGUCGGUACAACGCGCUGCGACACUGUGAGGUGGAGCGAAUCGCUGAAAGCCGGGCUUAUUUCGGAUUGGGGUCUGCAACUCGACGCCGUGAAGAAGGGGUCGCUAGUAAUCGCAGAUCAGCAAUGCUGCGGUGAAUAAAAGGUCUGGCCUU